rnacentral:rRNA from 1 species
AAAAGAAACCAACCGGGAUUGCCUCAGUAACGGCGAGUGAAGCGGCAAGAGCUCAAAUUUGAAAGCUGGCUCCUUUGGGGUCCGAGUUGUAAUUUGCAGAGGAUGCUUCGGGUGCGGCCCCCGUCUAAGUGCCCUGGAACGGGCCGUCAGAGAGGGUGAGAAUCCCGUCUGUGAUGGGCUGCCGCGCCCGUGCGAAGCUCCUUCGACGAGUCGAGUAGUUUGGGAAUGCUGCUCAAAAUGGGAGGUAUAUGUCUUCUAAAGCUAAAUAUUGGCCAGAGACCGAUAGCGCACAAGUAGAGUGAUCGAAAGAUGAAAAGCACCUUGAAAAGAGGGUUAAAUAGUACGUGAAAUUGUUGAAAGGGAAGCGCUUGUGACCAGACUUGGGCGCGGCGGAUCAUCCGGGGUUCUCUCCGGUGCACUUCGCCGCGUCUAGGCCAGCAUCUUUUUUUCGCGGGGGAAAAAGGCUUCGGGAUUUUUGGCUCCUCCGGGAGUGUUAUA